UACGUAGGGAGCAAGCGUUGUCCGGAAUCAUUGGGCGUAAAGCGCGCGUAGGUGGCCUCAUAAGUCCGCUGUGAAAGUCAAAGGCUCAACCUUUGAAAGCCGGUGGAUACUGUGGGGCUAGAGUACGGAAGAGGCGAGCGGAAUUCCAGGUGUAGCGGUGAAAUGCGUAGAUAUCUGGAGGAACACCGGUGGCGAAGGCGGCAUCCUGGACCGGUAUUGACGCUGAGGCGCGAAAGCCAGGGGAGCAAACGGG
rnacentral:rRNA from 1 species